CAUGUGUUAGAACACCUGUAGCCUGGAAUUUUAAAUACUGUACAUUCGGACUUUUCCAAAUUCUACGGAACGUGCGUAGUUGCUACCUAAAUUUUGCCUAAUUAUGGACGUUUACGGAAAUAAACAGAGGCACUACGGAAAUGUAUCUUUAGUCUAGACCCUGAAAUAGGCCUAACAUUUUUGAAAGUACAGCAGGACAAUGAUUUUUCAUCAGGACAUGCUACUCGUCCCUACUACUACCUGCGGACCCUAGGACUACGGCCCUGAGGCCUAGGCCUAGACUUCAGACCUGUCAGAUUGAUAAAUUAUUGUAAAACCCAAGAAAAGUGCCCCAUAAAUCAUCAGUUGCUACAGGAUAUUUUCAUUUACAAUACUACGGAAGCUAAAAGACAUGGCAGAAAUGCAUAUUACUAUUAUUCUGGAGAAGUUUUGAUGAUUAAGUGUGCAGAAUAUUUACUAGGGCCUGGCCUAGGCCUAGUAGGCCUAUGCCUGCGUCAUUUCAUCUCUGUACAAAUUCUGAAGAAACUUGGACAUUGCACCUCCUCUGCAACAAGUCAACCUGCCCUGCUUGGCUGAAUGACUAAUCUUGCUGCCACUACUGAAUGGUAUGGCAACUAGCGAUUUGGUAGUUGAAGCUCGCAAUAUAUUAAUUGUAAUCAGUAUAGUAUUCAAGAAUUUUAAUAUUGAAUUAAUAUUGAAUAA